rnacentral:lncRNA from 1 species
CAGAGAUGUUGCAGAUGGGCUAGAAAUGCUACAAAGGGAAAAUUGACAAAAGAUGCUGCAAAGGGGAAAUGUACAAGAGAUGCUGCAAGGAGGAAAUGGACAAGAGAUGCUGCAGAGGUGAAAUGGACAAAAGAUGCUGCAAAGAGGAAAUGGACAAGAGAUGCUGCAAAGGUAAAACAACUAGAGAUGCUGCAAAGGUAAAAUUGAUCAGAGAUGUUGCAAAGGGGAAAUGGGCAAGAAAUGCUACAAAGAGAAAAUGAACAAAAGAUGCUGCAAAGGGGAAAUAGAAAAGAGAUGCUGCAGAGAUGAAAAGGACAAGAGAUGCUGCAAAGGGGAAAUGGACAAGAGAUACUUCAGAAGUGAAAUGAACAAGAGAGGCUGCAAAAGUAAAAUUAAUCAGAGAUGUUGCAGAUGGGCUAGAAAUGCUACAAAGGGAAAAUGGACAAAAGAUGCUGUAAAGGGGAAAUGUACAAGAGAUGCUGCAGAGGUGAAAUGGACAAAAGAUGCUGCAAAGAGGAAAUGGACAAGAGAUGCUGCAGAGGUAAAACAACUAGAGAUGCUGCAAAGGUAAAAUUGAUCAGAGAUGUUGCAAAGGGGAAAUGGGCAAGAAAUGCUACAAAGAGAAAAUGGACAAAAGAUGCUGCAAAGGGGAAAUGGACAAGAAAUGCUGCAAAGGUGAAAUGGACUGGCCUUGGUCAUUCACUGGAUUUGUGUAAUAAGAAAGAGGAACCUGGGAUGAUACUAAUUUUGAGCUUGGGGUUACUGAGAGAAUGAUGAUGCCCUUGACAAUG